AUGAACGCUAGCUACAGGCUUAACACAUGCAAGUCAGGGGCAGCAUGUGGUUGCUGCACCAAUGAUGGCGACCGGCGCACGGGUGAGUAACGCGUAUCCAACCUUCCCCUUAGUAGAGGACUAGCCCGGCGAAAGUCGGAUUAAUACUCUAUGUUCUUCAAUGCGGACAUCUAAGUUGAAGCAAAGAUUUUAUCGCUAAGGGAUGGGGAUGCGUCUGAUUAGGUUGCAGGCGGGGUAACGGCCCACCUGGCCUACGAUCAGUAGGGGUUCUGAGAGGAAGGUCCCCCACACUGGUACUGAGACACGGACCAGACUCCUACGGGAGGCAGCAGUGAGGAAUAUUGGUCAAUGGGCGCGAGCCUGAACCAGCCAAGUAGCGUGCCAGGACGACUGCCCUAUGGGUUGUAAACUGCUUUUAUCAGGGAAUAAAGUGAGGCACGCGUGCCUUUUUGUAUGUACCUGGUGAAUAAGGACCGGCUAAUUCCGUGCCAGCAGCGGC
rnacentral:rRNA from 1 species